rnacentral:siRNA from 1 species
UGUUCGUGUGAACUUUUUGCUGC